UACGUAGGGUGCAAGCGUUGUCCGGAAUUACUGGGCGUAAAGAGCUCGUAGGUGGUUUGUCACGUUGUUCGUGAAAACUCACAGCUUAACUGUGGGCGUGCGGGCGAUACGGGCAGACUAGAGUACUGCAGGGGAGACUGGAAUUCCUGGUGUAGCGGUGAAAUGCGUAGAGAUCGGGAGGAACACCAGUGGCGAAGGCGGGUCUCUGGGCCGAUACUGACGCUGAGGAGCGAAAGCAUGGGUAGCGAACAGG
rnacentral:rRNA from 1 species